CUAGAUGCUUUAUUCUUCUUUUUUAUGACAGGGUCUCACUGUGUAGGCCUAGCUGGCCUAAAACUCAAUUUGUUGACCAGACUAGCCCCAAAGUCACAGAGAUCCAUCUGCCUCUGCCUCCCAAAUACUGAGGUGGGUUAAAGGUGUGCACCACACACCCUACCAAUCCUAUAAACUUAAACCUGUAACUUAAGUUCUAAAACUCUCUACCAUUAUUUCUUCAAAUACUUUUGUGCUAUAUUCUUUCUCUUUUUCUAGGACUCCAAGUGCCCAUAUGUUAAACUUUUAAAAAUUCUUCCACAGAGAUCCCCACAUGGUGGUGCAAACUUCCAUCCCAGUACUUAGGAGAGUAAAGCAGAAAGAUUCCCAAGUGUGAGGCCACCCUGGACUACAGAGCAAGACCCUGUCUCUAGCUUGGCGUGGUUGUUCAAGCCUUCAAGAGACCCUGUCCAAAAACAAACAAACAAACAAAAACAAAAAAAACCAACCAACAACGAAAAGACUCCAUCUCAAAUAAUAACAGCCAUAACAAAAUACAAAAUAUAGAAUAAAAUAAAUGUGUUCCACAGAGCCCUAGGCUAGGUACUUGUUGUUUGGCUUGCUUGCUUGCUUGCUUGCUUGCUUGCUUGCUUGCUUGCUUGCUUGGUAUUGUUUUCCUGAGGCAGGCAGGGUCUCAGGUAACCCAGGCUGAUCUUAAAUUCUCUACAUAGUAGUAGAUAACUUUGAGCUUCUUAUACCCCUCUCUGUACCUCCCAAGUUCUAAGAUUUCAGGUGUGAACCACUGCAUCUGGUUUUAUAGCGCUGGGAACAGAACCUAAGGCUUUGUGCUUACUAAGCAAGCUCUCUACCAACUGAGCUGUAUCCCUGGCCAGUGUUCCUUUAUUUUGUCCAUCCAUUCUUUUUAUUUGAUAUUUUCUUUAUUUACAUUUCAAAAGCUAUAGCUUUUCCUAGAUUCCCCUCUGAAAACCCCCUAUCCCCUCCCCACUCCCCCUGCUCACCAACCCACCCACUCCUGCUUCCUGGCCCUGGCAUUCCCCUAUACUGGGCAUAGAACCUUCACAGGACCAGGGGCCUCUUAUUGAUGACCGACUAGGCCAUCCUCUGCUACAUAUGCAGCUAGAGCCAUGAGUCCCACCAUGUGUUUUCUUCGGUUGGUGGCUUAGUCCAUUUUUGUCCCUUUGGGUAGAUGCUUAUCCGUCUGCUUUUAGGUCACUCACUUUGUCCUCUUCAUUCUCAUUCUGCUUUUAACCCCAUGUGAAUGUUUUUGUUCAGAUACUGUAUUUUCAAGUUCUAAAAUUUCCAUCUGAUUAUCUUUCAUAUUUUCUGUUCCUCUAUUGACAUUUCUUAUAUUUCUUUUUUAAAUAAUUUAUUAAUUUAUUUUUAUUUCACGUGCAUUCGUGUUUUGCCUGGAUAUGUUUCUGUGUGAAGGUGUUGGAUCCCCUAAACCUGGAGUUACAGGCAGUUGUG
rnacentral:lncRNA from 1 species